GAUGAAGAACGCAGCGAAAUGCGAUAAGUAGUGUGAAUUGCAGAAUUCAGUGAAUCAUCGAAUCUUUGAACGCACAUCGCGCCCCUUGGUAUUCCAUGGGGCAUGCCUGUUCGAGCGUCAUUUGUACCUUCAAGCUUUGCUUGGUGUUGGGUGUUUGUCUCGCCUUUGCGUGUAGACUCGCCUUAAAAUAAUUGGCAGCCGGCGUAUUGAUUUCGGAGCGCAGUACAUCUCGCGCUUUGCACUCAUAACGACAGCGUCCAAAAGUACAUUUUACACUCUUGACCUCGGAUCAGGUAGGGAUACCCGCUGAACUUAAGCAUAUCAAUAAGCGGAGGA
rnacentral:misc_RNA from 1 species